UCUCGAUUGGUCUAGUGGUCAGGAUACCUGCUUGUCAUCGCUUGCGACCAGGGCUUUUCCUGCAGGAAAACCUGGAAGAUAUCUGACAAACCGCAGGUGGCCGGGGUUCGAUUCCCCGAUCGAGAG